rnacentral:rRNA from 1 species
GACGAACGCCGGCGGCGUGCUUAACACAUGCAAGUCGAACGGAAAGGCCCAAGCUUGCUUGGGUACUCGAGUGGCGAACGGGUGAGUAACACGUGGGUGACCUGCCCUGCACUUUGGGAUAAGUUCGGGAAACUGGGUCUAAUACCGGAUAGGACGUCGGUCUGGAUGCCAUUGUGGAAAGAUUUUUGGGUGUGGGAUGAGCACGCGGCCUAUCUGCUUGUUGGUGGGGGAAUGGCGUAUCCAGGCGUCGACGGGUAGCCGGCCUGAGAGGGUGUACGGCGACAUUGUGGCUGAGAUACGGCGCAGACUCCUACGGGGGGGAGCGGUGGGGGGUAUUGCGCAAUAGGGGCAAGCGUGAGAUGGAGAAGCGGCGUGGGGGAUGUCGGCGUUCGGGUUGUAUACACCUUUCGCGAGGGUGGAAGCGUUUUUGUGACGGUACCUGGUGAAGAAGCACCGGCUAACUACGUG